rnacentral:lncRNA from 1 species
GUGACUGCCUAUAGAAGAUCCGUGAAAAAAUUAUCUGUACACGAGGCAUUUUCCUAACAAUCCAUCGUACCCACUUACUAUAGCUGCGCAGAGCCAUCAUACCCACCGCCCACAGCCGCGUUGUGCUAAGGAGAAGCGAUGAUGAGAGCCUAUCGCAGAUCGUCGCAGCGCAAUCCAGCGCGCUCAGUGGUGAGUAUAGGAAGAAGUGGUGUCAAUAUAGGAAAAAGUGAUGGAUCUGGCGUAGAUUUGUCUUGUGGCGAGAAGAAGACUUGUGGGGGUGCGAUUAUUAGUAAAAGAGGUGGCUUCGACUUAGAUUCAUCUGUUGCUCAUUGAUGUACACGAUUUUGGGGUAUUUUCGGGUGAUUUGCGAUCAAUAGUGGUUUAGGUCUAAGAUAGAAGCUAUGUUUUCAUGUGGUUUGGGGUGAUUUGAAAUCGCUGCUGUUCGAGCAGGCGACGGUGAUUUUGCCCGAGUUUAGAUGACAGUAUAGUGGUGAUAUUGUGGUGCGUUGAGCAAUGUUGUGGGUGUGGUGGUGGUUUUGCGAUUACAGUGGUAGUGCAGUGCGGUAUCGUAAAGUGAGGUCUGGUGCUAGCGUUGUGGUGGUG